UACGGAGGGAGCUAGCGUUGUUCGGAAUUACUGGGCGUAAAGCGCACGUAGGCGGUUAUCCAAGUCAGGGGUGAAAUCCCGGAGCUCAACUCCGGAACUGCCCCUGAAACUAGGUGACUAGAAUACUGGAGAGGUGAGUGGAAUUCCGAGUGUAGAGGUGAAAUUCGUAGAUAUUCGGAAGAACACCAGUGGCGAAGGCGACUCACUGGACAGUUAUUGACGCUGAGGUGCGAAAGCGUGGGGAGCAAACAGG
rnacentral:rRNA from 1 species